GGCGGCGUGCCUAACACAUGCAAGUCGAACGGAGUCAUAUAACGGAAGUUUCGGAUGGAAGGUAUAUGACUUAGUGGCGGACGGGUGAGUAACGCGUGGGCAACCUGCCCUGUACCGGGGGAUAACACUUAGAAAUAGGUGCUAAUACCGCAUAAGCGCACAGCUACGCAUGUAGCAGUGUGAAAAACUCCGGUGGUACAGGAUGGACCCGCGUCUGAUUAGCUAGUUGGUGGGGUAGAGGCCCACCAAGGCGACGAUCAGUAGCCGGCCUGAGAGGGUGACCGGCCACAUUGGGACUGAGACACGGCCCAAACUCCUACGGGAGGCAGCAGUGAGGAAUAUUGGUCAAUGGACGAGAGUCUGAACCAGCCAAGUAAGCGUGAAGGAUGACUGCCCUAUGGGUUGUAAACUUCUUUUAUAAGGGAAUAAAGUGAGGGACGUGUCCCUUUUUGUAUGUACCUUAUGAAUAAGGAUCGGCUAACUCCGUGCCAGCAGCCGC
rnacentral:rRNA from 1 species